UUAUUACAUAGUUUAUUUAAUUAAUUGAAAUUAGUUUAGUUUUAAUUUAAAAAAGAUUGGGUUGGCUAUUUAAUGGACUUUUAAAAAUUGAAGAAGUACAAAAUCUUGGCCCAAUUUUACACAAGUAGAAGCCCAAAAUCGGGCAGCCCAUUCCCUUCCUUAACCCCAACCCUUCCUUAACCCCAACCCUUUAACCCGCCGGAUCGACCCAUCUACCCGCCCAUUUUACCCUUUAAUAUCGGCCAUCCAUUCACCAAAUCCAACGGUCCACAUUAUUUCCCCACACCCAAAUACAAACUCUGUUAUAUCACUCCAACCCCUAACCCUAAAGACUAAACCAACCGCACCCUCUUCUCCCUCACACCUUCUGCUGCCAUAACCCAGCCCAAACCUCACCAUAAACGAACCCUCAUGGUCCCCCUCCUCUUUCUCUCUUCCACGUCAUCAAAACCAUAACGAUCUCUGUCAGAAGAAGAUAUUCCAUUUUUCCCCUUUCCACGCGCUCUUGCUUCCCUUGGAUGGAAUUCAGAUUAAUGGUAGACGUAGGAUUUGAAAACUUUAAAUCCUAGUCUUCCAUUUGUCUUAGAACCAUCCAGAAAGAAGAAUAAGAGGGGAUUUUCGUUUGGGGGCAGAGGAUUUUCGGAAUUUAUUGAAGGGAAAAUUCGGGUUUUUGGAGAGAUUUCUUGUUGAAUAAGGAGAAGCUUCAAGAGGGAGCUAUAUAUUUGGGGUCUGGACAUAGAUGGGGGGGGGGAUUCUUGUUUUUUUGGGGUUUCGUUUCUUUUUUCGGAGAAAAUUGACGAAAAGAGAGGAGGCUUUGUUCUUAGCUUUUGGAUUUUUCUUUUCUGUUUUCCUUUGAAUUCCAUAGAGAAGAUAUAAAAAAUACCAAAAAAUUUCAGUUCUGUCAUUUUUCUUAAUUUGUUAUAAAGGCCAGAAAAUUCAAAAAGAAAGGGUUUCGUUCUUCUUCUGGAAUUCAACUGAGGUAUUAGGAGUUUGAUUGACUGGACUUGCCGUUCGAAGUCGAGUUCACGGUUCCUGUUCAAUCUAGUUGCUUCUUUUCUCAUUCGGAUUUUGGAUUCAGAGUAUUGUAGCUGGUUCUCUUAAUUAUCCGCUAUUAAGAAGGAACUAGCAUUCUCAGGUUCAUUCCCACUAUCCCAUCUAUCUUAGUUUUCAUUGCAAAUUUAGCCGGAAGAGCCAUUUUAGGACCAGUUUGUUGGUAUCAUGUUUUAAUCUAUUAGAUACAGAGUUAUGUUAGCAAGGGUUUGUUAAUCCCGUUUCGAUUUAAUCUGUGCCAUUGUGAUUGUUAGUCUCUUUCAGUAGCUUAUUCGUAUUUUGGAAAUGGAUUGUGUUUCAAUUUGCUUGGAUCUUAUACUGCCGUAAUGUUAUCAUAGAGAGUGUUGUGCUUGAUUGUUUGAAUAUUGUUCCAAACAUAGUGUCGAUAAUGACUAUUCUUUCAAAGUUAAGCAAAGUUCUGUUACCUUGGACCUAUCUCAUAAAGUUCCGUUAAGAUUUAAGCUACUUGCCAUGAUUUGCUCAUUUUAGACAUAGACAAAUGAUAUGUAAAGCAAGCUUCUGCAACUAUGUAUGUGUUCAGUGUUGUUCUGGAUUGAAUACAACUAUCUGUUGAUGUUGCUGAUGACCCUACGUGAAGUGUCUUACUUUGUUAUUUAGUUUAAGCCCUCGUCAAACCCUACCAUUUACUUAACGUCUCUUGAACUUUCUGUUAAAAACUUUUAUUGGAAGAUGGAAACAUAUGGAACAGUGACAUUUAACUUGCCUAAUAUUUGUUCUAGUUAACUUCUGAAUGAGUAUUACGUGAACAACAUUUAAAAUGGAUUUGUUUAGUCUCAUGAAAGUUCUGGGCGGGUUAGCAAUCUUUGAAUGGCUCUUCCAAAGGGCUAUAAUUUGCAUUUCUUUAACUCGUAGUAACUAUUAUUUUAGUUUUGUUUAGUUCAUAUUUUCUAUGAAUGCUCAAUACUUUAUGUUAGAUGAUUUGUCUUGUUUAUUACUGUUGUUUGACUGUGAGUUUGAUUGAAUUAUGGAUAUUGGGACCGUGGGAAUGGGGGAAGGCCGAAGCCCACAUUUGUCUCCAUGCUUUAGUUAUUGGGCUCGGUCUAAUAAUAAAAAUGAGAAGUUGAGAAAGGAAUGAGCAUGAUUUAGAAUUUUCUUCUACCUUUUUUAGUUUUCUUUCAUUUGUUUAUUUAAUUACAUUGUCUGCUAGGAACAUGCUUCGGCCGGUCACAUUUGGGUAGGCAAGCCUUAGGAUUUUUGUUGGUUUUGAGGCAAGAGGUCAUUCCCUUAGUUAAAUUUAUCCGGGGAAUGCCCCGAAGGACUUGCAUAUAUUUUAUUCCGGGGAAUGCCCCGAAGUACUUGUAUUUGGAGACCUAAAGUAGAACUCGUAGUAUUU
rnacentral:lncRNA from 1 species